CUACGGGCGGCUGCAGUGGGGAAUAUUGCACAAUGGACGAAAGUCUGAUGCAGCAACGCCGCGUGGAGGAUGACACAUUUCGGUGCGUAAACUCCUUUUAUAUAAGAAGAUAAUGACGGUAUUAUAUGAAUAAGCACCGGCUAACUCCGUGCCAGCAGCCGCGGUAAUACGGGGGGUGCAAGCGUUACUCGGAAUCACUGGGCGUAAAGCGCAUGUAGGCGGACUUGUAAGUUGGAAGUGAAAUCCUAUGGCUCAACCAUAGAACUGCUUCCAAAACUGCUUGUCUAGAAUAUGGGAGAGGUAGAUGGAAUUUCUGGUGUAGGGGUAAAAUCCGUAGAGAUCAGAAGGAAUACCGAUUGCGAAGGCGAUCUACUGGAACAUUAUUGACGCUCAGAUGCGAAAGCGUGGGGAGCAAACAGGAUUAGAUACCCUGGUAGUC
rnacentral:rRNA from 1 species